GACAGAGGUGCCAAGCGUUAGGCGGAAUCACUGGGCUUAAAGCGUGUGUAGGCGGAUCGUUAAGUACCUUGUGAAAUCCCACGGCUCAACCGUGGAACUGCUCGGUAUACUGGCGGUCUUGAGCCACCUAGGGGCAACUGGAACAAGCGGUGGAGCGGUGAAAUGCGUAGAUAUCAGGAGGAACACCGGUGGCGAAGGCGGGUCUCUGGGCAGUAACUGACGCUGAGGAGCGAAAGCGUGGGGAGCGAACAGG
rnacentral:rRNA from 1 species